rnacentral:rRNA from 1 species
CCUACGGGAGGCAGCAGUGGGGAAUAUUGCGCAAUGGACGAAAGCCUGACGCAGCGACGCCGCGUGAGGGAUGAAGGUCUUCGGAUCGUAAACCUCUGUCAGCAGGGAAGAACGGUCACUGUGCUAAUCAGCAGUGAAUUGACGGUACCUGCAAAGGAAGCACCGGCUAACUCCGUGCCAGCAGCCGCGGUAAUACGGAGGGUGCGUGCGUUAAUCGGAAUUACUGGGCGUAAAGCGCGCGUAGGUGGUAUGUCAAGUCAAGGGUGAAAUCCCCGCGCUCAACGGGGGAACUGCCUUUGAAACUGGCAAACUGGGGUGUGUGAGAGGAUGGUGGAAUUCCAGGUGUAGGAGUGAAAUCCGUAGAUAUCUGGAGGAACAUCAGUGGCGAAGGCGACUAUCUGGCACAUAACUGACGCUGAGGAGCGAAAGCGUGGGUAGCAAACAGGAUUAGAUACCCUUGUAGUC